GAUGAACGCUGGCGGCGUGCUUAACACAUGCAAGUCGAGCGAGAAGUUUUGAAAAGAUUCUUCGGAUGAAAUUUAAAAUGGAAAGCGGCGGACGGGUGAGUAACGCGUAGGCAACCUGCCCCAUACAAAGGGAUAGCAUUUGGAAACGAAUAUUAAUACCUUAUGAAACUUAACUAGUGCAUGCUAGGUAGGUCAAAGAUUUAUCGGUAUGGGAUGGGCCUGCGUCUGAUUAGCUAGUUGGUGAGGUAACGGCUCACCAAGGCGACGAUCAGUAGCCGACCUGAGAGGGUGAACGGCCACAUUGGAACUGAGACACGGUCCAAACUCCUACGGGAGGCAGCAGUGGGGAAUAUUGCACAAUGGGGGAAACCCCGAUGCAGCAACGCCGCGUGAACGAUGAAGGCCUUUGGGUCGUAAAGUUCUGUUCUAGGUGAUGAAAACUGACAGUAACCUAGGAGAAAGCCCCGGCUAACUCCGUG
rnacentral:rRNA from 1 species